UUGUUCCAAUUGCAUCUUGAUGAAUAUAAUUUGAAGUAUGGAAAAGAAAAUUACACGGUCUCAAAAAUUUUGGAGAUGGAAGUUUUACAUAAGCAAAAAGACUCAAGUAAAGUUGAAGAACAUCAGGAAACAAUGGAGGAAAUUGUAAGAAAAUCAAGGAAGGACAAGUACAUAGCCAAUCAAAAAAUAGAAAUAGGAGAAACAUCUGUUCAAAGACCUGAAAGAAUGCCGCUCCAAAUGCUUCAAAAACGUCAAAAAAGUACUAAGCAAAUUGCUACAAAGAAGAAAAAAAACUGAACUCUAUUGUAUAUACUACCUUACUCUAAAAGUCUUUAUGUAUUUCAUAGUAUUGUUAAUUAUUAUUUUUUUUCCUUUAGAAGAGUAAACUGAAUGUAUUGAAUAAAGCUGACAGAUUAGAACAGCGUUACUAUAAAAUGUAAUUAUAUUUCACAAUUUGGUAUAUUAGCCACUGUGAUGGUCCCAAAAUGGUUGAUUUCAAAGUGUAUAAGCUGAAUGAAGAAUGUAGACAACAGGAUUUGCUUUAUUAAAAUAAAUAGAUUUUCCCCUAUUGUUCUGUUA